GAGGAUAUCUCCAAAUAUUCAUACCCAAAUAUUGGAUUUUUUGGGAGAUAUCUCCAAAUAUUCACAUCCAAAUAUUGGAUUUUUGGGGGGAUAUCUCCAAAUAUGGGAUUUUUUGGGGGGUUAUCUCCAAAUAUUCACAUCCACUUAUUGGAUUUUCGGGGGGAUAUCUCCAAAUAUUCACAUACAAUUACUGGAUUUUUUUUUGGGAUAUCUCCAAACAUUCACAUCCAAAUAUUGCAUUUUUGGGGGGAUACCUGUAAAUACUGACAUCCACUGAUUGGAUUUUUGUAUCCAAAUGUUGGAUUUUUUUGGGGGGAUUAUAUCCAAAUAUUCACACCCAAACAUUGGAUAUUUCCAGACAGCGAAUGCGACCUUUUAUUUUCCAAGGAAUAUCCGCAAUUCCAGCGGCAUCACACGGAGAGGAGUCGACUCCCCCAGCAUUGCAGCAGCUCCGUGCUCAUCCAGAGGGAGGAUCCCACGAUCCCUGAGAUUCCUGUGAUCCCUGUGUCCCAUCCCUACGUCUAAUCCCUGUUAUCCCUGUUUCCAGUCCCUGUGUCCCAUCCCUGUUAUCCUUGCUUCCAAUCCCUGUUAUCCCUGUGUCCAAUCCCUAUUAUCCCUGUGUCCCAAUCCCUGUUAUCUCUGUUUCCAAUCCCUGUUUUCAACCCCUGUUCUCCCUGUUUUCCAAUCCCUAUUAUUCCUGUGUCCAACCCCUGUUAUCCCUGCCUCCAAUCCCUGUUAUCCCUGUUUCCAAUCCCUGUUUCCAACCCCUGUUAUCCCUGUUUCCAAUCCCUGUUAUCCCUGUGUCCAAUCCCUGUUUCCAAUCCACAGAGCCGGAAAGCGCCUCUGGAAGCGGAAGAAUUCCCUGGAAGGAGCGUUGGGAUCCGGCUAAAUGACGGGAUAGGAGGCGUAGCUGGCGAUGCCGCAGCGGUUGGAAGCGUUCCGGGCCAUCCGGAUGUAUCCCGAGUCUCCAAACCAGACCCCCCCAGCUCCGGGAAAACAGGGAAGAAACACACGGAAAAAACCUCAAUUCCGGCUUUUCCCGGGCGGAUUCACCGACAUCCGGAUACCGGAGGGGGGGCGGAGUAGAUGGAUCCGUGGGGUUCCCGCUCCCGGGAAUCAUGGAAGGGGGUUAUGGAAUUGUGGGAUGAGCCAAUGGAAUCAUGGAAUGGGGUUAUGGAAUCCUGGAAUGGGGUUAUGGAAUCGUGGAAUGGGUCAAUGGAAUCAUGGAAUGGGUUAUGGAAUCAUGGAAUGGGUUAUGGAAUCAUGGGAUGAGUCAAUGGAAUUGUGGAAGAGGGUUAUGGAAUUGUGGAAUGGGUUAUGGAAUCAUGGAAUGGGGUUAUGGAA